AGAGUUUGAUCCUGGCUCAGGACGAACGCUGGCGGCGUGCCUAAUACAUGCAAGUCGUACGCUUCUUUUUCCACCGGAGCUUGCUCCACCGGAAAAAGAAGAGUGGCGAACGGGUGAGUAACACGUGGGUAACCUGCCCAUCAGAAGGGGAUAACACUUGGAAACAGGUGCUAAUACCGUAUAACAAUCGAAACCGCAUGGUUUUGAUUUGAAAGGCGCUUUCGGGUGUCGCUGAUGGAUGGACCCGCGGUGCAUUAGCUAGUUGGUGAGGUAACGGCUCACCAAGGCCACGAUGCAUAGCCGACCUGAGAGGGUGAUCGGCCACAUUGGGACUGAGACACGGCCCAAACUCCUACGGGAGGCAGCAGUAGGGAAUCUUCGGCAAUGGACGAAAGUCUGACCGAGCAACGCCGCGUGAGUGAAGAAGGUUUUCGGAUCGUAAAACUCUGUUGUUAGAGAAGAACAAGGAUGAGAGUAACUGUUCAUCCCUUGACGGUAUCUAACCAGAAAGCCACGGCUAACUACGUGCCAGCAGCCGCGGUAAUACGUAGGUGGCAAGCGUUGUCCGGAUUUAUUGGGCGUAAAGCGAGCGCAGGCGGUUUCUUAAGUCUGAUGUGAAAGCCCCCGGCUCAACCGGGGAGGGUCAUUGGAAACUGGGAGACUUGAGUGCAGAAGAGGAGAGUGGAAUUCCAUGUGUAGCGGUGAAAUGCGUAGAUAUAUGGAGGAACACCAGUGGCGAAGGCGGCUCUCUGGUCUGUAACUGACGCUGAGGCUCGAAAGCGUGGGGAGCAAACAGGAUUAGAUACCCUGGUAGUCCACGCCGUAAACGAUGAGUGCUAAGUGUUGGAGGGUUUCCGCCCUUCAGUGCUGCAGCUAACGCAUUAAGCACUCCGCCUGGGGAGUACGACCGCAAGGUUGAAACUCAAAGGAAUUGACGGGGGCCCGCACAAGCGGUGGAGCAUGUGGUUUAAUUCGAAGCAACGCGAAGAACCUUACCAGGUCUUGACAUCCUUUGACCACUCUAGAGAUAGAGCUUCCCCUUCGGGGGCAAAGUGACAGGUGGUGCAUGGUUGUCGUCAGCUCGUGUCGUGAGAUGUUGGGUUAAGUCCCGCAACGAGCGCAACCCUUAUUGUUAGUUGCCAUCAUUCAGUUGGGCACUCUAGCAAGACUGCCGGUGACAAACCGGAGGAAGGUGGGGAUGACGUCAAAUCAUCAUGCCCCUUAUGACCUGGGCUACACACGUGCUACAAUGGGAAGUACAACGAGUUGCGAAGUCGCAAGGCUAAGCUAAUCUCUUAAAGCUUCUCUCAGUUCGGAUUGCAGGCUGCAACUCGCCUGCAUGAAGCCGGAAUCGCUAGUAAUCGCGGAUCAGCACGCCGCGGUGAAUACGUUCCCGGGCCUUGUACACACCGCCCGUCACACCACGAGAGUUUGUAACACCCGAAGUCGGUGAGGUAACCUUUUGGAGCCAGCCGCCUAAGGUGGGAUAGAUGAUUGGGGUGAAGUCGUAACAAGGUAGCCGUAUCGGAAGGUGCGGCUG
rnacentral:rRNA from 1 species